CCUAGGGGAGGCAGCAGUGGGGAAUAUUGCACAAUGGGCGCAAGCCUGAUGCAGCCAUGCCGCGUGUAUGAAGAAGGCCUUCGGGUUGUAAAGUACUUUCAGCGGGGAGGAAGGUGUUGAGGUUAAUAACCUCAGCAAUUGACGUUACCCGCAGAAGAAGCACCGGCUAACUCCGUGCCAGCAGCCGCGGUAAU
rnacentral:rRNA from 1 species